GUUUUGUGGAACAGCCAAUCAAAACAGUACAACACAGAUAAACACUCCCAUUCAUUCCAGCAGAAAUCCUCCUCUCUAUCUGUGAUACAAUUACUGAAAACAAUGGGCUAACAUAAUUACCACAGGCAGGAAAAUACACAGUUUUACACAAUAUUCAUACAUCACAUUCACAUAAAACUUACAUUUUCAGCAAUCUCCGAAUACAAACAUACUCAAAAAUCAGGCAAUUCCUUCCAUUGGUUUAAAAGUUAGGUCGAAGUCCUUUGUGACCAACUGCAAGCAUGGCUUUCCAGCCCAAACCAGUUCCACAGAGUUAGGCUGUGUGAGAUAAUUGGCUUAACUGGGUGUGGUAAGCCAACUAUCUCCAGGUACAGAACAUAUCUCUAUUCACAACAGCAAAAAUACAUAAUUCCUAUCAUACUGAACAGAACCCCCACAUUCAAUAUAUCCAAACAGCGCUCAGAUCCCACAAACACAGUCAAAUCACCAUGGGGUUUAAGUUUAG